AGUUCAAUGUCUUACAUCUUGAAUAAUUUCUGCUCAAUGAUUAUUUUUAAUUAAAUAGCCGCAGUACUUUGACUGUGCUAAGGUAGCAUAAUAACUUGGCCUAUAAUUGAGGUCUAGAAUGAAAGGAAGUACCUAUAAGCAACUGUCUUGUUAAGGUUAAUUUGAAAUUUUUUAUUAGGUGCAAAUACCUAAAUGAAUAUAUUAGACGAGAAGACCCUUAGAGUUUUCAUUACCAUUACUACAAUAUUUUUGUUGGGGCAACAUAGGAAUAGCUUAAUCUUCCUAAGUGUGUAAAAUAACAUGCCGAACUUAUGUUAUGAUUGAGUAUAACUACCUAAGGGAUAACAGCAUUAUCUUUAACAAGGAUUGUGACCUCGAUGUUGGAUUAGGUAAAUUUGGUAUAAGCAAUAUCAUCUAAAAGUUCUGUUCGAACUUAUACACCU
rnacentral:rRNA from 1 species